rnacentral:tRNA from 1 species
CUGGUAGCUCAGCUGGAUAGAGUGCAUGGCUACGAACCAUGAGGUCCCUGGUUCGAAUCCAGGCGGGCAGG